AUUGAACGCUGGCGGCAGGCCUAACACAUGCAAGUCGAGCGGAGCGGCGGACGGGUGAGUAAUGCCUAGGAAUCUGCCUGGUCGUGGGGGAUAACGUCCGGAAACGGGCGCUAAUACCGCAUACUAUCAGAUGAGCCUAGGUUGGAUUAGCUAGUUGGUUGGGUAAAGGCCUACCAAGGCAACGAACCGUAACUGGUCUGAGAGGAUGAUCAGUCACACUGGAACUGAGAAACGGUCCAGACUCCUACGGGAGGCAGCAGUGGGGAAUAUUGGGCAAUGGGCGAAAGCCUGAGCGAGCCAUGCCGCGUGUGUGAAGAAGGUCUUCGGAUUGUAAAACACUUUAAGUAGGGAGGCGUUACCAACAGAAUAAGCACCGGCUAACUUCGUGCCAGCAGCCGCGGUAAUAC
rnacentral:rRNA from 1 species